rnacentral:rRNA from 1 species
AGAGAGAGACAUGCGCGCAUAUCAAUAAGCGGAGGAAAAGAAACUAACAAGGAUUCCUUAGUAACGGCGAGUGAAGCGGGAAGAGCUCAAAUUUGAAAUCUUCAAGGUUUUACCUUGACGAAUUGUAGUUUAAAGAAGUGUUUUCUGCUGAAGUUUUGGUAAAAGUUCUUUGGAAUAGGACAUCAUAGAGGGUGAGAAUCCCGUAUUUGACCAUUAUUUUCAGCUUUGUGAUACACUUUCAAAGAGUCGGAUUGUUUGGGAAUGCAGUCCAAAAUGGGUGGUAAAUUUCAUCUAAAGCUAAAUAUUGGCGAGAGACCGAUAGCGAACAAGUACCGUGAGGGAAAGAUGAAAAGAACUUUGAAAAGAGAGUUAAACAGUACGUGAAAUUGUCAAAAGGGAAGCGUUUGACACCAGUGUUGUUUUCUCGAAAAUCAAUUAAAAAUGGCUCGAUUUUGUAUUGCUUGAGACCUUAAAAGCUCACUGUACAUUUUUCGUGUCUUUUUUAAUGCACUUUUCGUUUAACAAGUCAACAUCAGUUUCUUUUGUUGUAAAAGGGUCAUCGGAAGGUGGCUUUCUUUUCGGAGAAAGUGUUUAUAGCCUUUGGCCUCUGCAAUCGAAGAGACUGAGGUCUGCAGCGUAGACUCUUCGGGGUUAGAUACAUUUGUGCUAAGUUAUAGCUUUUUAUAGACAACUUGUUGACUAUAAUUAGUCUUGUAGCUUACUCGCUUAUGCUAUUUUACCUACGCUUAGGAUGUUGAAGAUGUAGCACAUCAU